rnacentral:rRNA from 1 species
ACGCACGCUGGCGGCGUGCUUAACCCAUGCAAGUCGAACGGAAAGGCCCUGCUUUUGUGGGGUUCUCGAGUGGCGAACGGGUGAGUAACACGUGAGUAACCUGCCCUUGACUUUGGGAUAACUUCCGGAAACUGGGGCUAAUACCGGAUAGGAGCUCCUGCUGCAUGGUGGGGGUUGGAAAGUUUCGGCGGUUGGGGAUGGACUCGCGGCUUAUCAGCUUGUUGGUGGGGUAGUGGCUUACCAAGGCUUUGACGGGUAGCCGGCCUGAGAGGGUGACCGGCCACAUUGGGACUGAGAUACGGCCCAGACUCCUACGGGAGGCAGCAGUGGGGAAUAUUGCACAAUGGGCGGAAGCCUGAUGCAGCAACGCCGCGUGCGGGAUGACGGCCUUCGGGUUGUAAACCGCUUUCGCCUGUGACGAAGCGUGAGUGACGGUAAUGGGUAAAGAAGCACCGGCUAACUACGUG